UACAGAGGUCUCAAGCGUUGUUCGGAAUCACUGGGCUUAAAGGGCGCGUAGGCGGGUUUUCAAGUCUGUGGUGAAAUCCUCCAGCUUAACUGGAGAAGUGCCGUGGAUACUGGAGACCUCGAGGAGGGUAGGGGCAUCGUGGAACAGCCGGUGGAGCGGUGAAAUGCGUUGAUAUCGGCUGGAACUCCGAUGGCGAAGGCAAGGUGCUGGACCCUCGUCUGACGCUGAGGCGCGAAAGCCAGGGGAGCGAACGGGG
rnacentral:rRNA from 1 species